UGUCACUCUUACUGUCAGGGAUGGGACACGCUGAGGCAGAGGAAAAUGGAGACACAGAGCCAGUUAUUCAGGAGGCUGAGCUGGGAGAGGACCAGCCUGAGCAAUAUGAAAAUGACUUUCUGGAAACCACCUACUGGACCCCACCCACUUGUCGCAGACUAGACCCAGAUUCUGGGGCUUUCCAGCUGCCCUUCCUAUCUGCCACCCUCCCGGGGCCCUCUCCCAGGAAGGGCUGACCCAGGGGCCCAGGAUUACUGAGGUGGCCCACCCAUCUCCUGGCCAGGACCGGGAGUGUCUUACCAAUAGACUCAUCAUUUCUGGAAGUUCUUCACUCUCUGAGUCAUCAAGGAGAAAGUUUGCUCUUGGAUUAAUAAUUAAUGGCAACUAAU